ACGCUGGCGGCAGGCCUAACACAUGCAAGUCGAGCGGUAGAGAGAAGCUUGCUUCUCUUGAGAGCGGCGGACGGGUGAGUAAUGCCUAGGAAUCUGCCUGGUAGUGGGGGAUAACGUUCGGAAACGGACGCUAAUACCGCAUACGUCCUGCGGGAGAAAGCAGGGGACCUUCGGGCCUUGCGCUAUCAGACGAGCCUAGGUCGGAUUAGCUAGUUGGUGGGGUAAUGGCUCACCAAGGCGACGAUCCGUAACUGGUCUGAGAGGAUGAUCAGUCACACUGGAACUGAGACACGGUCCAGACUCCUACGGGAGGCAGCAGUGGGGAAUAUUGGACAAUGGGCGAAAGCCUGAUCCAGCCAUGCCGCGUGUGUGAAGAAGGUCUUCGGAUUGUAAAGCACUUUAAGUUGGGAGGAAGGGUUGUAGAUUAAUACUCUGCAAUUUUGACGUUACCGACAGAAUAAGCACCGGCUAACUCUGUGCCAGCAGCCGCGGUAAUACAGAGGGUGCAAGCGUUAAUCGGAAUUACUGGGCGUAAAGCGCGCGUAGGUGGUUAGUUAAGUUGGAUGUGAAAUCCCCGGGCUCAACCUGGGAACUGCAUUCAAAACUGACUGACUAGAGUAUGGUAGAGGGUGGUGGAAUUUCCUGUGUAGCGGUGAAAUGCGUAGAUAUAGGAAGGAACACCAGUGGCGAAGGCGACCACCUGGACUGAUACUGACACUGAGGUGCGAAAGCGUGGGGAGCAAAC
rnacentral:rRNA from 1 species